GAACUAUGAUGUUUAUGACGUCACUCAUGGUAAACGCGUCCAAAAUGCGCUGUAAAGCAAAAAGAAAAUUAAAUUAAAAGACAGUGACAGUCAGUGGUCGGUCGUCUCGUGUCGUUGGUUUGAAUAGUUGAAUAAUUUUGUGACUGCAUUGUGUUUCUAUAUUUUUAUUCGUCUGCCAGUACGUCUGCAAGAUUUUGACAAGUAUUUUGUGGAUUAGGUUACAUGACACCAAAAUGAAUCUAUUCCAGUUUGCUAUUUUCUUAGGAUACUUUAGUAUUGGAUACUGUUACACAAAAUAUGGAAGAACUUGCAAAGACAUAGGAUGUCCCAGUACUCAAGAAUGUGUCAUGGCCACAGAUCCAUGUAGUUACUACCAUAGACAAGGGGAAUGCGGUUCCUAUCCCACAUGCCAAAGAGUUUCAAAUGCACCCAGGACAUGCUCUACGUACGUUUGUCCGCCUACCAAAGUAUGUAGAAUGGAUGGAGAUACACCAAAAUGUUUUGAUGAUGUGGGCAAAGUUGGCCAUGUAGGUUACGAGACUAGUGGAAACACUAAUCAUUUAUCACAAAGUGGACAUAAUGGUAAUCUGUAUCCUAAUCUACCAAAAGGAGAAACAACACCUAGGCCGAAUAUUAACAGACCAGUUAGUUCAGGUGGAUAUCAAGGAGGUCAAGUAGGUUCUGGUUAUCCAGGAGGACAAGUAAAUUCAGGUUAUCCAGGUGGCCAAGUAGGUUCAGGCUAUCCAGGAGGUCAAGUAGGUUCAGGCUAUCCAGGAGGUCAGGUAGGAUCUGGAUAUCCUGGAUACACACAGCAAGGAGGUUAUCCCAGACAAGGAUAUCCACAACAAGGAUAUCCACAACAGGGUUAUCCACAACAAGGUAAUCAAAGACAAACCGGAUACCAACAAUAUGGAGGAUAUCCACAAACCAACAAACCAAGCUCGGGGACUUCCAUAUCAGACAAAAUCACUAGCGGCCUUAAAUCCAUAGGGCUAUUCUGUGUUGUCUUGGUGUAUACCAGGUUAUUUAGUAUAUGAAAAUAGAUUUGUAUAAAUUUACCAAACUAAUAUACUUAAAUUCUACAAAAAUUCCCGGCUAUAAAUGUGGAUUUUUUAAUAAACUGCGUGUCAAGUAAAAGAAGAGAUAGUACUGCUAGGGAAUUCAUUUUGUACUCCAUGCAUGAUCCAUCAUUUUUAAUUAUUUUUUUAUUUUGUAUAAAAAGACUAAAUCCGUUUAUAAUUAUGUAAAUUAAUAAAGAUAUUAUAUUAUAA
rnacentral:misc_RNA from 1 species